AAAUGACAACAGAGAUGAUACUGUUAAGGAUAUCCUACUAUCUUCUUAGGCCCAGAGGAGAUAAUAACAACAAUGACAGCAACAAAAAUGAUUGCAUCUCUGAGGGAGGAGAGAGCGGAGGAAGAAGUGGUCACCUCCUUCUUGUUCAUGCCUGAGUGCACCUUCAGGAGCGCUGGUGUUGGUGAGGACUGACUCAGGGAGUCUGUAAAAGCCAAUCUGGGGCUGAGAAAGAGUCAUGGAUUUGUUAUUUGUUAGACCGAAGCUCUGCAGAGCCAAACCCAUCAAUAUUCCUGCAGUGUGACAGACCCAGCAAGGCUCCGGAAUGCUAACCGG
rnacentral:lncRNA from 1 species